rnacentral:rRNA from 1 species
UUUGAGGCCGUAGUCUAGUUCUUGUGUUUAGUAGGUGUCGUACCUUUUGCAUCAUGAUUCUUUGAGGGGGUUUAAUUAUCUUAUUAUUCCGAAAGGUAGCGAUUUAAAUCUGUCUUGUUUUAGGGCUUAGGGGUUAGCGGGUAGCUAAUCUUUAGAGAUGGGUUUGGAGGCGAUAAGUAAUGCGUGCUACUUUAUAGCUGAUUGUUGAGUGUUUUUUGUUUUAACUUCGUUGCUUGGAUGUGGCGAGGUGUUUAAGAGAGUUUAUGGGGGUAGACAGAGGCGGGGUUAAAAGUACCCUGUUUUAGUUUCGUGUUAUAACGAUCGUCUUCUCUAGGUCCUCUUUAGUUUAGCGCUUGACUUAUUUUAACAGUGUUUUGAAGUAUGGGGGGAUAAGUAGUUUAAAUGGUUUCUUUCUUUCUCGAAGCUCUCCGGUCUGUUUCUUAAAAACAUUUCCAUCAUCUUGUGAAGUUUUGAUGGUAGUGCCUGCUCGAUGUUUUAAUAAAUGGCCGCAGUAUUUUGACUGUGCUAAGGUAGCAUAAUUAGUUGCCUUAUAAUUGAAGGAUUGUUUGAAUGGUUUGACUAGGGGGGUGUUUUAGAUGGGGGCUAUUGUUGAAAUUAGGUGGCCGGUGCAGAUCCCGGUGUUUUUUAAUUAGACGGAAAGACCCCGAGAGCUUUAACAUUUUUGUUUUACUUGGGGCAAGGGCAUAUGCUUCAUAUGCUUUUGGAUCCUUUGGGAAAGAGGUUUAGUUACCUCGGGGAUAACUAGGUAAGAGACGAGGAGAGGUCUUAUCGAUUUGUCUGUUUGCUAUCUCGAUGUUGACUUAGGGUUAGCAUGGGGGUGUAGGAGCUCUUAUGUUAGGGUCUGUUCGACCGUAGUUCCCUUCAUGAGUUGAGUUAAGACCGGCGUGAGCCAGGUCGGUUCUUAUCUUUUAUUGUUGCGGUUUCGUACGAAAGGAGCAUCCGUAGUUUAGGUU